rnacentral:rRNA from 1 species
GACGAACGCUGGCGGCGUGCUUAACACAUGCAAGUCGAACGGAAAGGCCCUGCUUUUGUGGGGUGCUCGAGUGGCGAACGGGUGAGUAACACGUGAGUAACCUGCCCUUGACUUUGGGAUAACUUCAGGAAACUGGGGCUAAUACCGGAUAGGAGCUCCUGCUGCAUGGUGGGGGUUGGAAAGUUUCGGCGGUUGGGGAUGGACUCGCGGCCUAUCAGCUUGUUGGUGGGGUAGUGGCUUACCAAGGCUUUGACGGGUAGCCGGCCUGGGAGGGUGACCGGCCACAUUGGGCCUGAGGUGCGGCCCAGACUCCUACGGGAGGCAGCAGUGGGGAAUAUUGCACACUGGGCGGAAGCAUGAUGCAGCAACGCCGCGUGCGGGAUGACGGCCUGCGGGUUGUAAACCGCUUUCGCCUGUGACGAAGCGUGAGUGACGGUAAUGGGUAAAGAAGCACCGGCUAACUACGUG